CCCAGGGCCUCUGACCUUAGGUGACGCUCGGACGCUGCAGAAAAGCUGCGUGCUAUAGCCAGGAGUGGAGGUACGGUCAGCCAGCGGCUGGGUGAAGGAGGGCGCUUCUGAGAAGUCUCGCUCAGUAAACUCUCUAGGUUUGGCAGUGAUAGCUAGGUUCAGGGGAGAAUUGAGGUUAUAGGGGUGCAGAGGGCUUCAGAAGACUGGCCUCAACCCUAAACGUUGGGAUGCUCAACCUGGUCAACGUGUGAAGACACCAGAGAAAGCCUAGCUGAGCAGGGCUGAGGCUGAUCGGAGGUGAACGGAGAGGAGUGGGUGGGAAAACUCGAGUCUUGCGGCAGGAGGUGAACAUCACAUUUCCAUUUCUGCUUGCCUCUGCCACCCGAGUGGCUUUCCUUUUUAAAUACAAAAUGCUCAGGGCUGUGAUGCUCUGGCUGAUGUAAAAGCGGCUCCUAGGGUGAGUGAGAUGGCUCAGCAGGUGAGGGCGUUUGCCACCAAGUUUACCGCCCUGAGUUCAGUUCCUGGGACCCAUAUGGUAGAAGGAGGGAACGGACAUGUCCUUAGACGUACACAUGCACGUCCGCAUGUGAACACACACUCACACACCAAUAAAUGUCAUUAAAAAGAAUAAUAAUAAUAAAGUGUGGCUUCCAGGG
rnacentral:lncRNA from 1 species